rnacentral:rRNA from 1 species
UGAGCAAUCUGCCCUUCUCUUCGGAAUAAGCGUUGGAAACGACGUCUAAUGCCGAAUACGACCUCCUUUCGCAUGAUCGGAGGUGGAAAGCUCCGGCGGAGAAGGAUGAGCUCGCGGCCUAUCAGCUAGUUGGUGUGGGUAAUGGCCCACCAAGGCGACGACGGGUAGCUGGCCUGAGAGGGUGACCCGGCCACACUGGGACUGAGACACGGCCCAGACCUCCGUACGGGAGCAG